GAUGAACGCUGGCGGCGUGCUUAACACAUGCAAGUCGAACGAUGAAGCCCAGCUUGCUGGGUGGAUUAGUGGCGAACGGGUGAGUAACACGUGAGUAACCUGCCCUUAACUCUGGGAUAAGCCUGGGAAACUGGGUCUAAUACCGGAUAGGAGCGUCCACCGCAUGGUGGGUGUUGGAAAGAUUUAUCGGUUUUGGAUGGACUCGCGGCCUAUCAGCUUGUUGGUGAGGUAAUGGCUCACCAAGGCGACGACGGGUAGCCGGCCUGAGAGGGUGACCGGCCACACUGGGACUGAGACACGGCCCAGACUCCUACGGGAGGCAGCAGUGGGGAAUAUUGCACAAUGGGAGCAAGCCUGAUGAAGCGACGCCGCGUGAGGGAUGACGGCCUUCGGGUUGUAAACCUCUUUCAGUAGGGAAGAAGCGAAAGUGACGGUACCUGCAGAAGAAGCACCGGCUAACUACGUG
rnacentral:rRNA from 1 species